UUCAAUUAUCCUUUUCUCCUAUAUAAGAACCUUGACCACAAGCUAUUUCUAGCCACCACAAAACUUUGCUAUACUUUUUUCACUCUUCUUUGAACAUAUAAUUUCUGUUUGAUCAAGAUGAUGCAUAAUGCCUUUCUUAAGCUGCUGGUAUUCUUUCUGGGUUUUUCCUUUAUUCUGUCGUCUGCCGUAGUUCCUAUAACUAGAAGCCUCAAGUCAACAAGGGAAGACCCAUCAGUCCAAGAUUUCCUGGCUCAGGCACUCUCUCUCUCUCUCUCUCUCUCUCGUAGGAAUUUAGUACUUUAAAUACCAUGAAACCUUAUGAAGUCACAUGGUAUGUCGAUAAUUAGUGUAGAUGUAAAUAUCAUGUAUUAAAAAUAUAUAUCACAUUUAUGCCAAUUCCAUAUAGUGCUGAAGGUUUAAGGUUUCUCUCUCUAAGUUAGCACUUGACCUUUUUUCGUUAGACCAUUUUCCUCUCUUUUCUUUGAUUACCUUUUAAUUUCUUUUUGAUUGAAUGGAUGAUAAAGAAUUUAAUUGAGAGGUCCUAUAUAAUUCGCAGGGUGAAGUGGAUAUGAAGGAAGUUGAGGAGAUGUUUGAGGCGGCUGAAGGAAUAAUGGAAAGGAGGAUGGACAUGGAAAGAGCAGAUUAUCCAGGAACAGGAGCAAACAACCAUCAUGACCCAAAAACCCCUAAAAGAGCUUGAAGUGAUCCAAUUUUUAAAGUACACAGACCCAGACUUUACAGGAGAGAUUGCAUCUUGGUUUGGCUUUGUGUUUUCGCGCUUUGGAAUAUGCUCUUUGAUUAAGAAUCUCAAAAGGGUUAUUGAUUUGUUACUUUAUCCACUUAUUAAUCUAUCUAUUUCCUUUUGUACUUUUUUUUUUUUUUUUUUAAUUUAAGAAUCUCCUUUUUGUUUUAAUGAGAUACUAUCACAUCAUCUUUUAAUUAAAUAAAAUGUAGGGGAUUAAAACCCA